ensembl:snoRNA SNORA23 small nucleolar RNA, H/ACA box 23
UGGGUAUUGGUGUGCACAGCACUUAUCUGUGUUUUUUGGUGCAGCUGCUCAUCUGUGUCCUACAGAUUGUCCAGCUGCACCCACACCCCCCCCUCAUGGUCUCACAGACAACUGGAGAUCAUAGUACUGGCCCAGUGAUGUCUCCUUGACAAUCCACCACUGGCCAGCCUCCAUACUCUCCUACAAAA